GUCUCAUGACCAACACCAACCU
rnacentral:snRNA from 1 species